UACGAAGGGGGCUAGCGUUGCUCGGAAUUACUGGGCGUAAAGCGCACGUAGGUGGCUUUUUAAGUCGGGGGUGAAUCCUGGAGCUCAACUCCAGAACUGCCCUCGAUACUGGGAAGCUUGAGUUCGGGAGAGGUGAGUGGAACUGCGAGUGUAGAGGUGAAAUUCGUAGAUAUUCGCAAGAACACCAGUGGCGAAGGCGGCUCACUGGCCCGAUACUGACGCUGAGGUGCGAAAGCGUGGGGAGCAAACAGG
rnacentral:rRNA from 1 species